CCAGCACCCCGAGUGGUCGGGACGAUUAUUGGGCCUAAAGCAUCCGUAGCCGGGUUUUACAAGUCCUCCGUUAAAUCCAACUGCUUAACAGAUGGGCCGCGGAGGAUACUAUAAGACUAGGAGGCAGGAGAGGCAAGCGGUACUCAGUGGUAGGGGUAAAAUCCGUUGAUCCAUUGAAGACCACCAGUGGCGAAGGCGGCUUGCCAGAAUGCGCUCGACGGUGAGGGAUGAAAGCUGGGGGAGCAAACCGGAUUAGAUACCCGGGUAGUCCCAGCUGUAAACGAUGCAGACUCGGUGAUGGACUAGCUUUAUGCUAGUCCAGUGCCGCAGGGAAGCCGUUAAGUCUGCCGCCUGGGUAGUACGGUCGCAAGACUG
rnacentral:rRNA from 1 species